CCUACGGGGGGCAGCAGUAGGGAAUCUUCCACAAUGGGCGAAAGCCUGAUGGAGCAACGCCGCGUGGGUGAAGAAGGUCUUCGGAUCGUAAAACCCUGUUGUUAGAGAAGAAAGUGCGUGAGAGUAACUGUUCACGUUUCGACGGUAUCUAACCAGAAAGCCACGACUAACUACGUGCCAGCAGCCGCGGUAAUACGUAGGUGGCAAGCGUUAUCCGGAUUUAUUGGGCGUAAAGGGAACGCAGGCGGUCUUGUAAGUCUGAUGUGAAAGCCUUCGGCUUAACCGGAGUAGUGCAUUGGAUACUGGGAGACGUGAGUGCAGAAGAGGAGAGUGGAACUCCAUGUGUAGCGGUGAAAUGCGUAGAUAUAUGGAAGAACACCAGUGGCGAAAGCGGCUCUCUGGUCUGUAACUGACGCUGAGGUUCGAAAGCGUGGGUAGCAAACAGGAUUAGAUACCCCAGUAGUC
rnacentral:rRNA from 1 species